rnacentral:rRNA from 1 species
UACGUAGGGGCCUAGCGUUGUCCGGAAUUAUUGGGCGUAAAGGGCGCGUAGGCGGCCUGUUAAGUCAGCCGUGAAAGCCCGGGGCUCAACCCCGGAGGGUCGGCUGAUACUGGCAGGCUAGAGUACGGAAGAGGUAGCUGGAAUUCCCGGUGUAGCGGUGAAAUGCGUAGAUAUCAGGAGGAACACCUGAGGCGAAGGCGGGCUACUGGGCCGAUACUGACGCUGAUGCGCGAAAGCCAGGGGAGCGAACAGG